AUGCGGCGGUGUCGGGGCGCGGGGCUGGCGGCGCUGGCCGCGGUGCUGCUCGUGGCUGUGGGCAGAGCUCAGGUGCAGCAGGAGCCAUUCCUGGAGACGGCAGAAGGCACCAGUAUCACCAUCAAGUGCUCACACUCCAAUAUCCGAAUGGGCGAUUUCAUCCAUUUCUACCGUCAGCUCCCGGGCCAAAGACCUCAACUCCUGGCGGUCACUGCUAAAGCGCCCCAGCAAGUUCGAUCCGCUGAAGGGCGUCUGUCGGUGUCGGCAGAUCGGAGUUCGAGCUCGCUGUGGCUCAGGCGGCCCCGGCGCGGGGACGCGGCCGUGUAUUACUGUGCGCUGGGCCCACGGGCAGAGGAGCCGGGGCUGCGGCCGGGCACGAACCGGGGCGGGCGGGGCCCGCAGGGGCCGGGGGCACAGCGCCGCCCGCGGCCAGCAGGGGGCGCUGCCGCUCCGCCCGCCGGGCCCCAGGCGGCUCCGCAGCUCCUUCAGUGCCCCGAGCCCGCGCACAGCGACAGCGCCCAGCCCGCCACGGAAAAAACAAGGAAAGGGGAGAGCAAUGACCAGAGCACAUAA